AAGCUGUGAUGAAAUGUGUGCUCGCUGUGAUGAUAGGGUCUAUCACUACCGUCAGAUGUCUUCAUCGGACGAAAAGGAGUACAUCUGAGCUU
rnacentral:snoRNA from 1 species